GAGUUUGUGGCAUUUGUUCAACUUGGGUUUGUGACGUGUUUGAACUUGAUUUUGUGGUGUUUUUGAACUCGAGUUUGUGGUGUUUUUGAACUUGAGGUUGUGGAAAUUGUUAAACUUGAGAAUUGGGUAUUGGUUGAACUUGAGUUUGUGUGUUUGUUGAACUUGAGUUUUUGCCGUGUUUGAACUUGAGUUUGUGGGUUUUUUUUAACUUGAGGUUGUGGUGUUUUUGAACUUCAGUUUGUGGAAAUUAUUAAACCUGUGUUUGUGUUGGUUGAACUUGAAUUUGUGGUGUUUGUUGAACUUGAGUUUGUGUCGUGUUUGAACUUCAGUUUGUGGUGUUUUUUGAGCUUGAGGUUGUGGUGUUUUUGAACUUGAGGUUGUUGCGUGUUUGAACUUGAGUUUGUUGUGUUUUUUUAACUUGAGGUUGUGAAAAUUGUUAAACUUGAGAAUCAGGUUUUGGUUGAACUUGAGUUUGUGGUUUUUGUUGAACUUGAGUUUGUGUCGUGUUUGAACUUGAGGUUGUGGUGUUUUUGAACUCGAGUGUGUGUGUUUGUUGAACUUGAGUUUUUGCCGUGUUUGAACUUGAGUUUGUGGGGUUUUUUUAACUUGAGGUUGUGGUGUUUUUGAACUUCAGUUUGUGGAAAUUAUUAAACCUGUGUUUGUGUUGGUUGAACUUGAAUUUGUGGUGUUUGUUGAACUUGAGUUUGUGUAGUGUUUGAACUUCAGUUUGUGGUGUUUUUUGAGCUUGAGGUUGUCGUGUUUUUGAACUUGAGUUUGUGGUGUUUUUUGAACUUGAAGUUGUGAAAAUUGUUAAAAAUGAGAAUCAGGUUUUGGUUGAACUUAAAACUUUGACAUUUGUUGAACUUGAGUUUGUGGUGUUUGCUGAAAUUUAGUUUGUGUCGUGUUUGAACUUGAGUUUGUGUUGUUUUUGAACUUGAGUUCAUGUGUUUUUUGAACUUGAGUUUGUGGCGUGUUUGAACUUGAGUUUGUGGGGUUUUUUAACUUGAGGUUGUGGUGUUUUUGAACUUCAGUUUGUGGAAUGGUUAUACUUGAGGAUUGGGAUUUGGGUGUUGGUUGAACUUUAAACUUUGACAUCUGUUGAAUUUGAGUUUGUGGUUUUUGUUGAACUUGAGUUUGUGUCGUGUUUGAACUUGAGGUUGUGGUGUUUUUUAACUCGAGUUUGUGUGUUUGUUGAACUUGAGUUUUUGCCGUGUUUGAACUUGAGUUUGUGGGAUUUUUUAACUUGAGGUUGUGGUGUUUUUGAGCUUGAGUUCUUGUGUUUUUUUAACUUGAGUUUGUGGCGUGUUUGAACUUGAGUUUGUGGCGUGUUUGAACUUGAGUUUGUGGUGUGUUUUUUGAACUUGAGGUUGUGAAAAUAGUCAAACUUGAGAAUCAGGUUUUGGUUGAAUUUGAGUUUGUGGUUUUUGUUGAACUUGAUUUUGUGUCGUGUUCUAACUUGAGUUUGUGGUGUUUUUUGUACUUGAGUUUGUGUUGUUUUUGAACUUGAGGUUGUGGUGUUUUUUGAACUUGAGUUUGUGUCGUGUUUGAACUUGAGGUUGUGGUGUUUUUGAACUUGAGUUCGUGUGUUUUUUGAACUUGAGUUUGUGGCGUGUUUGAAUUUGAGUUUGUGGCGUGUUUGAACUUGAGUUUGUGGCGUUUUUGUACUUGAGUUUGUGUUGUUUUUGAACUUGAGGUUGUGGAAAUUGUUAAACUAGAGAAUCAGGUGUUGGUUGAACCUGAGUUUGUGGUUUUUGUUGAAUUUGAGUUUGUGUCGUUUUUGAGCUUGAGGUUGUGGUUUUUUUGAACUUGAGUUUGCGUGUUUGAACUUGAGUUUGUGUGUUUUUUCAACUUGAGUUUGUUGUUUCUGAACUUGAGGUUGUGGCAAUUGUUGAACUUGAGUCUGUGGUUUUUAGUGAACUUUAGUUGGUUGCAAUUGUGGAACUUGAGUUUGUAGCAUUUGUUCAACUUGAGUUUGUGACGUGUUUGAACAUGAUUUUGUGGUGUUUUUGAACUCGAGUUUGUGGUGUUUUUGAACUUGAGGUUGUGGAAAUUGUUAAACUUGAGAAUUGGGUAUUGGUUGAACUUGAGUUUGUGUGUUUGUUGAACUUGAGUUUGUGUCGUGUUUGAACUUCAGUUUGUGGUGUUUUUUGAACUUGAGGUUGUGGUGUUUUUGAACUUGAGUCUGUGGCAGUUUUUGAACUUGAGGUUGUGGCAAUUGUUGAACUUGAGGUUUGUGACGUGUUUGAACUUGAUUUUGUGGUGUUUUUGAACUCGAGUUUGUGUUGUUUUUGAACUUGAGUUUGUGGUGUUUGUUGAUCUUGAGUUUGUGUCGUGUUUGAACUUGAGGUUGUGGUGUUUUUUAACUUGAGUUUGUGUGUUUUUUGAACUUGAGUUUGUGGUGUUUUUGCACUUGAGUUUGUGUUGUUUUUGAACUUGAGGUUGUGGAAAUUUUUAAACUUGAGAAUUGGGUAUUGGUUGAACUUGAGUUUGUGGUUUUUGUUGAACCUUAGUUUGUGUCAUGUUUUAACUUGAGUUUGUGGUGUUUUUGAACUUGAGUUUAUGGUGUUUUCUAACUUGAGGUUGUGGAAAUUGUUAAACUUGAGAAUUGGUUAUUGGAGAGGUGAAAUCUGACAUGCCGUGUGUCAAUUUAACUGGUGUUAAGUUAACCCGUUGCGCCCGACGGUCCCUCUCCCGGGCCGAGAUUUUGCUGCAUGUAUUUAAACGCUGUAAAAAAUGUAUUGAAACUUGACCGCGGUGUUUACUUUCAAUUCUCAAUCAAAGUUUGAACUCUAAUGUUCACAGAACUGGGUCGGAUGUCUGUUUUAGUGUAAACGUUACCUUUUUAUGUCGAUUUUAAUCUGUCUUGGUGUCUCUGUCUGGACAUUUAAAUUUUGCGACAUCGACCGAAUCAAAGCUUUACAGUGUAGCGGAGACAGGCUCCGUCCGGCCAUGUCUGUAGUCAUUUGAAAGGGGAGAACCUACUGAAUCGAUUGGCAUCAAUCUUUCCAAAGACUACAUUUCCCAGAUUUGAAAAAAGCCGGGCGUAAAGUGUUCGUAAUUUGUGCGCUUUUAGGUGCAGCGCCCCACAGACGAAGGCAGGAUGCUGCAUCGCACACAGAUCAGUUGGGACUCUCCUGUAAACUUUCUACACCACUUAUAAAACUUCUCUUGAGUACUUUUCAACCAGGAAAAGAAACAUUCAACUCUUAGAGGGAUAUGGCAGACAUUUUAUUAGAAAUUCAGCGGGGCUCAGACGGUGAAUUUGAGGUCUCGUCUGAAUCAGUAAUGGCGUCGGCUCCGAGGAGGAGGCAUUGUUUACAUCAGAAGUGGACCCAGUUUACUAGUAAGUAUUUGCAUUUAUCUAUAAGGCCAUGUUGUGUAAAUUGAUAUGCAUGGAACACAUUUGUCAUAAAACUGUAAACACUGUAGUAAGUAUGGCAAUCCAAUACCAUUGAAUAUUACUGCAGUUUCACUAUAUCUGUUUAUUUUGGGCUUACUUUGCUUGCAGAUACUGCAUUUUAUCUGUCUUUGAAUAUAUUCUUUAUGAGAAAAAUAAAUGAAGUACAUAUCAAUGCAAACAAAAUAUAGUAGAGCUACUCAAUUUAGUGAAUAAGUUUACAUAUAUCCACAACUUGUCCUUCAGUGAAAUGUACAAAUGUUAUUUAUUUUUGUUCUGCAUAGUAAUUGAUCACCAUUUUCACAGCCACCAAGAAGAGGGGAGUGAGGCACAUCCACCCCCACCCCCCAUCAGGGGUUUUCACACCUUCAGUACUCCCUGCACCAGACUCCCCACCCCCACCCUUACCUGCAAGAAAGGUGACAUUGCUUUUAUCAAGGUUUGUGUACUGAUCAUUUGUUUGAUUCUGGUCUCUAAAAGAAAUAAUACACUCUUUACUGCUUCAAUUAUGCAUUUAUAUGUAUUCAUUACAUUUAAUUUACUCUACCUGUGUUUGCUGUAUUUUAUAUUGUUAUAUAUUGUUUUUAAUUUACAAUAUUUGUUGCACUUUUACUUUUUAUUUUACAUUGUUUGCUCAGAAUGUUUGUUUGUUUCUCUUUUUAAACUUUUUUUAAAUAAAGAUACUCCCUGUGAAGAAAGAAAUGUAGAAGUUCCUGUUAUUUUUCACUAUUCUGUAUUACAUAUAAACAAAUAUAUUGUGCAGAAUGGUAGAAAUUGAUGAGGCAAAAGGUAAAUUUCAUAUCUUAAAGCUCCAAUAGGUAGUAGGAGACUAGUCUUAUGGAAAUAAAUUGUAAUUUGGAGCCAGUUCUCAUCAGAGGUAGAAAAUAAUCCAUUUGGCACAUUUUGGCACAAAGUGUGCCAAAUUGUGCCAAACUGAGUCCUCGCCUGGGUGUACCCUUACAAAAACCUUCAUGUAGGCUUUACUGUUUGCCCAAAUUCUAUCAAAUUUGGUACAUUUGUGGUCAAGGAGUGGAUGAAGCUAAUCAAUGUCAUCUGGGGGCCUGGAAUCAUUGCCAGCAUUGUGUUUUCCCCUGUCAAAAAAAGAAAACAUUUUGGCGAGGGUAAAAAAACACAACUUUUCCUCUGAUUCAUUCCAAUUUACUCAGGCAUAAUGACAGACAAAACACUUCUGACACUUUGAACACAUUCUCUGAAGUCUCUAGAUGUCCAAGGACACCAAGAACAUGCAUAUAACCUUUAGUAAAGUGUAGUAAUUCCUCAUUUACUUUGGGUAUGUCUUUUAGGCGUUUUUCUUUCCUUAAAAUAUGCUUAGGGUAGAACGGGUUAAACCUUACCCUAACCCCAUAAUCUAAUACCUGGGUAUUACCUUCAGGAAGCCCGAAAACCCCAAAUAUUUUAUUUUUAUUUUUAUUUUUUUUUGGUCUAACUAACUCCAAAAGGUUGGAAAAGAGUUCCUAAAAAGGUUUUGGACAGUGAUUUUAACCUUAAUGCCAAAAACCUUAAACCUUACCCUAGCCCCAUAACCUAAUACCCGGGUAUUAUCUUCAGGGAGCCCGAACACCCCAAAUAUUUUUUUUUCAUUUUACAUUUUUCUUGGUGUAACUAACUCCAACAGGUCUGAAACUUGUUCCUACAAAGGUUUUGGACAGUGAUUUUAACCCUAAUGCCAAAAACCUUAAACCUUACCCUAGCCCCGUAACCAAAUACCCGGGUAUUACCUUUAGGAAGCCUUAACACCCCAAACAUUUUUUUUUCAUUUUACAUUUUUUGUUGUUGUAACUAACUCCAAAAGGUUGGAUAAGAGUUCCUACAAAUGUUUUGGACAGUGAUUUUAACCAUAACACCAAAAACCUUAAACCUUGCCAUAGCCCCAUAACCUAAUACCCGGGUAUUACCUUCACGAAGCCCGAACACCCCAAAUAUUUUUUUUUCAUUUUAAAUUUUUUUGGUCUAACUAACUCCAAAAGGUUGGAAAACAGUUCCUAAAAAGGUUUUGGACUGUGAUUUUAACCCUAACGCCAAAAACCUUAAACCUUACCCUAGCCCCGAAACCUAAUACCCGGGUAUUACCUGAAGGAAGCCUUAACACCCCAAACCUUUUUUUUUUCGUUUUUCGUUUUUUUUUUUUUUGUCUAACUACAAAAGGUCUGAAAAAUGUUCCUAAGAAGGUUUUGGACAGUGAUUUUAACCCUAACGCCAAAAACCUUAAACCUUACCCUUGCCCCAUAACCUAAUUCCCGGGUAUUACCUUCAGGAAGCCCGAACACCCCAACUAUUUUUUUUUCAUUUUUCAUUUUUUUUGGUCUAACUAACUCCAAAAGGUCUGAAACUUGUUCCUAAAAAGGUUUUAGACAGUGAUUUUAACCCUAACGCCAAAAACCUUAAACGUUACCCCAGCCCCGUCACCUAAUACCCUAGGGUAUUACCUUCAGGAAGCCCGAAAACCCCAAAUAUUUAUUUUUCUUUUUUCUUUUUUUUUUUUGGUCUAACGAACUCCAAAAGGUUGGAAAAGAGUUCCUACAAAGGUUUUGGACAGUGAUUUUAACCCUAACGCCAAAAACCUUAAACCUUACCCUUGCCCCGUAACCUAAUACCCGGGUAUUACCUUAAGGAAGCCUUAACACGCCCAAAAAUUUUAUUUCGUUUUUCGUUUUUUUUUUUGGUCUAACUCCGAAAGGUUGGAAAAACCUUUAACCUUUACCUAGCCCCGUAACAUAAUAUAUACAUAAUAUUGCUCUACAAACACAUAGUCUAAAAGAUAGACAGCAUAGCAUACCAAUUGAGUUGAGUCAUUAAACUUCCUACCAACACAUAAUUUUUACACGCAGAUUGAGCUCGGAGACUCGACUGGGAACAUGUGACAGGUUGACAUGCGCCGGCCAGUGCAAGCCCUUGAUCAGCCUACCCCAAACCGCCAAGUCAACUGACGAAAGCGGGGGCUAUCACUGUAUCUCUUACCCACACCUAACCAGCCAGUUGCCUUCGGACAGACUUGUCACAAUAUCAUUCCGAGAAUAGUCUGAGCCCAUGCUCCUUCUGUGCACACAACCCCCCCCCCCCCCCCCCUUUAUAGAAUCUAAGAUCUUCCAGUAUCAAGGGUGAGAGUGAAUUCCAAAGAAUCCUCCACCUUGGAACCUAUACUAACACUACAUUCCUCAGAUAACUAAACAAAAAAACAUCUAAACCCUAACAGAAACCCUGACGAAAAGAUAAAUACUUUUCAAGACAAAUUAACUCCUGACCCCACCCUGCCCCCCUCCUUUUCUCCCUCUCUCCUGAUCUGUACCUCUCUCUCCUAUCAGAGGAUGAAAACCAGCAGGUGAGGAGAGUCUCAAUGGCGAGUCACGGUGGCAAGAUCUAUUCUCUUUCUAUCACUCGAAUGCCUGCAUGAGCAGAAUGGUGCCAGACGGACCACCUGCUCCCACCACAAUCCUCUGUGACUUUUUGACUCUAUCCACUUUUAGAACUUAAAAUUGUAAUCAAUAAUCAACUGACCAACUCAGCUCAAACCAAACCCAAAACUCUGCCUAGAGAACUCCCACUUCCACGUUUACAUAUCUCUUUGUAUCUCGUGAGGACCGUGAGGAGAGCAGAGCCUAGACCUAGUCGGGUCGGGGGACUAUGUCCCUUGCUCACUCUCCUCACAUGGGUGGUGAGAGCUGGGGAGCUAUGGGAUGUUUCAUCCGCCACCAAAUCCCCCUCACCAAUCUUUAUUUUCCACCAUCUCCACCUCUCCCUUAAACCCCCCUCUCCCUCUUCCCUUCUCUCUCUCUCUCUCUCUCUUACACACACACACACACACACACACACACACACACACACUCCCCCCCUCUCUCUAUCUCCCUCUUUCCCUCUUCCCCCUCUCUCUCUCACACACACUCUCUCUCUCUCUCCCUCAUCUCUCUCCCUCAUCUCUCCCCCUCUCUCUAACACACCCCCUCUUUCUUAUUCCCUCCCCUGCCCCUUUAUUUUCACCUUCACAGAGGACAAAUAGGUGAUCUUCAGCCUAGGCCUACCCCGGCCGGGGGGUAACCCCUGUUGGGUCACCUAUAUGGAGGAUUAAGAGAGACCUGAAGGGGAACCGCCGUGCCCCCUAAAUCCUCCCCCUCAAACAUCUUUUUUAACACUCUAAUAUUAGCCAGCUAACCCCAUUACAAACAACCUCAUCAAAAAUUUAAAUAAUAAAUACUUAUCAAUAACUGACCAUUAGUGACACCAGACUAAGCUAGCAAAAAAGAACACACACACACACGUACAGAUUUUCCCUUAGGACACUGAUCAAAUUUACAUUUCUGUCUGUCUUUUAGGGAACUGUUCUCUGUUUUUAAGCUCACUUUUUUUUGCUAUUUGCUCUUGACACUUCUUUUUUUCCUUUUUUCUUCCCCUUCCCUUUUUGCAAUCCACUUUUGUACUUUUAUUUUUUUAUUUUUCAUUGUUUUAUAUUAUUUUAUUUUAUUUUAUUUUAUUUUAGGAUUCCUGUACUUUUGUUUUUUUUCCCCCCGCCCCUCUUUUUUCUUAGGAAGGACUGACUCCUGAGGUUCUCAUGCCAGGAAAAAAUGUACCUCCCUCACUCACGGUUUUACCCACAAUCCUUUGCUGCAACAGGGAGAUUGAUUCCCAAGGCUCUCAUGCCAGAAAGGAAGUACCUCACUCACUCACGGUUUUACCCACAAUCCUUUGCUGUAACAGGAAGAUUGAUUCCUUAGGCUCUCAUCCCUCAGAACUAAAAUACCCACAAUCCCUUGCGAUUGCAUACAAAUUUAAUGUAGCAAAACUCAAUUUAAAACAAAUAAACCACUUUAAAAUUAACUUAAAACAACUUGAAAGUUUAAAAUACAACCAAGAGACAUCCAUUCUGGAGAACAAACAUCGAGAAGAGAACACAACCAUGUCUGAGAGGAACAACACAAACCACGACUCGAGCCCCACUGUGGAGAGUCUGGUCCUGUUGAAAGCACUUUUAAGUGUUGUGCACUAGAGAGCAAUUCCUGUUCCUGUAAUUGAGACAAAGCCCUGACCACUGGACCAAGAAGACGGACCUCCGCCUCGAGGAAGACGCUGCGCCGCCACCUGACAGAAGACGCCGUACCUCCUUUACUCGAAGCCGGCCACCACUGAGCUUCGACCCGCCGACGGCACCGAGUCCCAGCAAACCUUCCCGCGGACCGCCUAUCUUCUUUCCCCC
rnacentral:lncRNA from 1 species